CCUACGGGAGGCAGCAGUGGGGAAUCUUGCGCAAUGGGCGAAAGCCUGACGCAGCAACGCCGCGUGCGGGAAGAAGGCCUUAGGGUUGUAAACCGCUUUCAGUAGGAACGAAAAUGACGGUACCUGCAGAAGAAGGUGCGGCCAACUACGUGCCAGCAGCCGCGGUGACACGUAGGCACCAAGCGUUGUCCGGAUUUAUUGGGCGUAAAGAGCUCGUAGGCGGUUCAGUAAGUCGGGUGUGAAAACUCUGGGCUUAACCCAGAGCCGCCACUCGAUACUGCUGUGACUUGAGUUCGGUAGGGGAGCAGGGAAUUCCUAGUGUAGCGGUGAAAUGCGCAGAUAUUAGGAGGAACACCGGUGGCGAAGGCGCUGCUCUGGGCCGAUACUGACGCUGAGGAGCGAAAGCGUGGGUAGCAAACAGGAUUAGAUACCCUGGUAGUCCACGCCGUAAACGUUGGGCACUAGGUGUGGGUUCCAACCAACGGAAUCCGCGCCGUCGCUAACGCAUUAAGUGCCCGCCUGGGGAGUACGGCGGCAACGCUAAAACUCAAAGGAUAGUACGGCGNGNGACGACGCGACGACGACGACGACGGAGGAGAG
rnacentral:rRNA from 1 species